rnacentral:rRNA from 1 species
CCUGCGGAAGGAUCAUUACCGAGUUCGUGGGCGUUCUAACCGGACCCCAAACUCCCACCCCAUGUGUACCUGCACCUCGUUGCUUUGGCGGGCCUGCGCGCCCUGAAAAAGCGCGCUGCCGGCCCUGCUGGCCCGUGCCCGCCAGAGGACCUUCAAACUCCUGUUGUCAUCAGUGCCGUCUGAGUGUAAAACUUAAUACGUUUAAAACUUUCAACAACGGAUCUCUUGGUUCUGGCAUCGAUGAAGAACGCAGCGAAAUGCGAUAAGUAAUGUGAAUUGCAGAAUUCAGUGAAUCAUCGAAUCUUUGAACGCACAUUGCGCCCUUUGGUAUUCCGAAGGGCAUGCCUGUUCGAGCGUCAUUACACACCUCAAGCUCUGCUUGGUAUUGGGCCCUCGUCCGUCAGGGACGGGCCUCAAAACCCUCGGCGGCGGUGCCCGGCUUUGAGCGUAGUAGAACUUCCUUUCUCGCUCUGAAAGCCCGUGGCGCCCGCUUGCCGGACGACCCCCCAAUCUUUCUUUCAAGGUUGACCUCGGAUCAGGUAGGGAUACCCGCUGAACUUAAGCAUAUCA